rnacentral:rRNA from 1 species
CAGAGGGUGCAAGCGUUGUUCGGAAUUACUGGGCGUAAAGCGCGCGCAGGCGGAAGUGCAAGUCUCGAGUGAAAUCCCGCCGCUCAACGGCGGGGCUGCUUAGGAUACUGCACCUCUAGGGACCGGUAGAGGCUGGUAGAAUUGCAGGUGUAGCGGUGGAAUGCGUAGAGAUCUGCAAGAAUACCCGUGGCGAAGGCGGCCAGCUGGGCCGGAUCCGACGCUGAGGCGCGAAAGCGUGGGGAGCAAAUAGGAUUAGAUACCCUGGUAGUCCACGCCGUAAACGAUGGGCACUAGGUGCCGGGGGGAGCGACCCCGUCGGUGCCGCAGCUAACGCGAUAAGUGCCCCGCCUGGGGAGUACGGCCGCAAGGCUG